rnacentral:rRNA from 1 species
GACGAACGCUGGCGGCGUGCUUAACACAUGCAAGUCGAACGGAAAGGCCCUGCUUUUGUGGGGUGCUCGAGUGGCGAACGGGUGAGUAACACGUGAGUAACCUGCCCUUGACUUUGGGAUAACUUCAGGAAACUGGGGCUAAUACCGGAUAGGAGCUCCUGCUGCAUGGUGGGGGUUGGAAAGUUUCGGCGGUUGGGGAUGGACUCGCGGCUUAUCAGCUUGUUGGUGGGGUAGUGGCUUACCAAGGCUUUGACGGGUAGCCGGCCUGAGAGGGUGACCGGCCACAUUGGGACUGAGAUACGGCCCAGACUCCUACGGGAGGCAGCAGUGGGGAAUAUUGCACAGUGGGCGGAAGCCUGAUGCAGCAGCGCCGCGUGCGGGAUGACGGCCUUCGGGUUGUAAACCGCUUUCGACUGUGACGAAGCGUGAGUGACGGUAAUGGGUAAAGAAGCACCGGCUAACUACGUG